rnacentral:rRNA from 1 species
UGGGGAAUAUUGCACAAUGGGCGGAAGCCUGAUGCAGCGACGCCGCGUGAGGGAUGACGGCCUUCGGGUUGUAAACCUCUUUCAGUAGGGACGAAGCGUAAGUGACGGUACCAUAGGAGGAAGCCCCGGCUAACUACGUGCCAGCAGCCGCGGUAAUACGUAGGGGGCGAGCGUUGUCCGGAAUUACUGGGCGUAAAGGGUUCGCAGGCGGCAUGGCAAGUCCGAUGUAAAAGGCGAAGGCUCAACCUUCGUAAGCAUCGGAAACUGUCAAGCUUGAGUGAAGGAGAGGCAAGUGGAAUUCCUAGUGUAGCGGUGGAAUGCGUAGAUAUUAGGAGGAAUACCGGUGGCGAAGGCGACUUGCUGGACUUCAACUGACGCUGAGGAACGAAAGCGUGGGUAGCAAACAGG